UGCACACGCUAGGGGUGUUGGCCCGCAGCACACGCUGUGGGCCGACUGAGAGAGUCCCUUUGAACCUGAUUGAGGUAAUCCUCGCGCAGGGAAGCUGGUCCAAGCACGG
rnacentral:ncRNA from 1 species